GUGAGUACCUCCCCGUUUCUUCCGAAUCGCGAAGGGGCGGUAUUGGUAACGGGGCGGGUGUGGGGAGAAGGGCCGAGCCAGGGGGUGUGGGCGGGUGGAUAAACGGCCCUUGCCUCCCCAGGCCCGGGUAAGCGAGGGGAGUCCGUUUGGAACUGGAGGAUCUAAGCUGGACUCCCGGGAAGAUUUUCUGGGGCCUAGUUUCCAGUCACCUAACUAAAGGAACGCGUCGCGAGCACUCGCACUUGCCUCCUUGGGCCUCCCUGGCCCUUCCCGGCCUCCCCAGGCCCCCCCAGCUCGCACAGGUGCAGCUCCGCCUCAGCGGACGCGUCUGUGAAGAGCUUGCAGCUAAUUAGCAGCCUGCCCUAUUAACAAGUUGCGCCGAGCAUCGCCUUCUGCUCGAACCAACCUGCUAAGCACCCAGGCAACGCGAUCCCCAUUCGCCGCCCAGCCCAGCUUAACCCGGUCCAGCCUGGCCCCGACCUUCUCUCCUUUUUUGUUUUUAAUAAAAAGAAGGUGCGGGGGUGGGGGGACGCAACCCGUUACGGCUGCGGGUGUGUUGGGUUGGCCCGCUUCCGGGAAGGGCUGAAAAUUCUGAGCUUUAUGUGAAAGUCCCUCCUACCCUCUCCCCCGGCCCAGCCCCGGCCUCAGCAAUCUGGGUCCCGGGUUGGGGACUCGGGCUGAGGAGGGAGAGAUACGGCCCUUCGAAUUCACUCCUGCUUCUCUCUAACUGCAAUUCGAGAAUUUCUGCACCAGAGCCGCUAGCGUUGCAGGCAGACAAGGGGGAGGGGUGUUUGGGGGUGCGGUGGGGGCCAGAGAUUCUUGGGGUGUUGGGCUCAAACGUUUGGCUCUUUCAGAGUUGCUUAUGCCACGGAAGACAGGUAGGUACACUUCUGAGGAGGCCUGUGAACUGUCCAGGAAGGCUAUCUCAAGAUGAUGGUGGUAGGGAGAGACUCCAGGAAAGACCAGGGGCCCCUCCCUCAUGCAAAAUGGAGAUGGUUUUAUUUUAAUAAGAGAUGGAAUGUGUGAAGAUGUUAAGAACCAGGCACCCUCCCUUUCUGGUGAGAUGUCCUCUUUCUGGGGUCAGAGAAGAUGAGGCUUGGCUCUGGGCCAGAUUUCUGCCCUCCAGCCUGGGCAACAUAAUCAACUUCCUAGGGACUGUGCCCACACCCUAGGAGUGGAGGACCCACGAAAUACAGAGUUCACCUCUACGAAUCAGGCUGUCUGAAGUGAAACAGGCCCCCCAGCUCCAGGCCGGAAAAUCCGGAGUCCCCAGAACUCCUGGGCUUUCCCUCUUCCUGUAGCUCCCCUGGCUCUGGGUGCUUAUCUCUGUGGAUGCUCCUUGCUUGCAAACCCAGGAUUGGCACCCCGUAGCUGAAUACAGCACAAAAAGCCGGAGACAUCAAAAGCAUUUGUAUGGGCAGUUGAGCGGGAGGUGAAUAUUUAACGCUUUUGUUCAUCAAUAACUCGUUGGCUUUGACCUGUCUGAAGGAGUGGAGCAAUAAGGUGAAAUGCAGGUCACAGUGUCUAAUAAAUAUGAAAAUGUGUGCCCUCACCCAGGUCCCCACUCAUCCCAGCAGGCACCCCCAAUUUGUCUGGAUAAAGUCUAGACCCAAGGUACCCAGGAGCUCUUGGCAUUAAAGGAAGUUGGGGGAACCCCCUGGGACAAGGGAGUUGGGUGUGGGGGAGUUUCAGAAGGUCUUGUUAGAAUUGGCACCCGGGAAAUCCCUACAAAAUAGCCAAAGCACUGGAACCAAAGGAUUGGGGGGAGUAUGUGGGGAGUGUGCACAGUGCAGAGAAGUCAGCCAAUUUCACCAGACUAGCGGUGGGGGGAGUGGAGGGAGUUCUCCCUGUUCCAUCAAGGCCCAAGUUGAGGCUUGAAAACAAUUUUUGAAUCAUGAGGGCAAAAUAAAAAAACAAAAUGAAAUACUUCUAGCUUAGAGUUAAGGAUCCAAAAUCCCCACCCAAGCCUGGGUAUCCCUCUGCCCCUGAAAUCCAUCCCAGUCCUGAGCCCUCUUGGUGCUGUGAAUUGAGGAGUGAGCCCCAGACUGCACGAAGCACUAGGGCGGGCACACUUCGUGAACUUUUGUACUCUUGUGUCCUGCUGUCGGCAAAGCAAAAAUAAUGAAACUUUGUGAUAUGUUUGUAAAUGAUUUCGAAUGACCCCUCGCCCUGCCCUUCACCAUUAGUACGCCAGCCCCAGCCCAGGGCAGCUCCGUGCCUGCAAGCAGUGCCUGCCUCAGGGUGGUAAGCAGCAGCUGGACAGAGAGGCCAGCCGGGCUCAGAGCCCUGGAAGAAGACUGUCCUGACUCGUUGGCUGCUUGGUAACCCCGGCUCUGUUACAAGGAUGGGGAACUCGUUGCUGCAAAUUGCCACCAAGCACUUCAGACUACCUGAACUGUCUCUGAAAGUGAGAGUGGCUGUGUCGGGCUGGCGGCUCCGAGGAGGAGGCUGGGGCUGGCAACAGUCUGGGUACUUGCUCUGGGUGGAACCUGGAGGCAGUAACGUUG
ensembl:lncRNA